rnacentral:rRNA from 1 species
GAUGAACGCUGGCGGCGUGCUUAACACAUGCAAGUCGAACGAUGAAGCCCAGCUUGCUGGGUGGAUUAGUGGCGAACGGGUGAGUAACACGUGAGUAACCUGCCCUUAACUCUGGGAUAAGCCUGGGAAACUGGGUCUAAUACCGGUUAGGAGCGUCCACCGCAUGGUGGGUGUUGGAAAGAUUUAUCGGUUUUGGAUGGACUCGCGGCCUAUCAGCUUGUUGGUGAGGUAAUGGCUCACCAAGGCGACGACGGGUAGCCGGCCUGAGAGGGUGACCGGCCACACUGGGACUGAGACACGGCCCAGACUCCUACGGGAGGCAGCAGUGGGGAAUAUUGCACAAUGGGCGAAAGCCUGAUGCAGCGACGCCGCGUGAGGGAUGACGGCCUUCGGGUUGUAAACCUCUUUCAGUAGGGAAGAAGCGAAAGUGACGGUACCUGCAGAAGAAGCACCGGCUAACUACGUG